UACAGAGGGUGCGAGCGUUGUCCGGAAUUAUUGGGCGUAAAGAGCUCGUAGGCGGUCUGUUACGUCCGCUGUGAAAACCCAGGGCUUAACCCUGGGCUUGCAGUGGAUACGGGUAGACUAGAGGCAGGUAGGGGAGAAUGGAAUUCCCGGUGUAGCGGUGAAAUGCGCAGAUAUCGGGAGGAACACCGGUGGCGAAGGCGGUUCUCUGGGCCUGACCUGACGCUGAGUAGCGAAAGCGUGGGGAGCGAACAGG
rnacentral:rRNA from 1 species